UACAGAGGUCUCAAGCGUUGUUCGGAUUCAUUGGGCGUAAAGGGUGCGUAGGCGGGCAGGUAAGUCCGUGGUGAAAUCUCCAAGCUUAACUUGGAAACUGCCGUGGAUACUAUUUGUCUUGAAUAUAGUGGAGGUGAGCGGAAUAUGUCAUGUAGCGGUGAAAUGCUUAGAUAUGACAUAGAACACCCAUUGCGAAGGCAGCUCGCUACACUAUUAUUGACGCUGAGGCACGAAAGCGUGGGGAUCAAACAGG
rnacentral:rRNA from 2 species